ensembl:snRNA U6 U6 spliceosomal RNA
GUUCGCUUUGUCAGGACGUAUACUAAAAUUGAAACUAUACAAAAAACGUUAGUAUAGCCACUGCACAGGGAUGACAUGCAAAUUCAUGAAGUGUUUCUUUCUUUU